rnacentral:rRNA from 1 species
GGGUUGUGAGGUUAAGCGACUAAGCGUACACGGUGGAUGCCCUGGCAGUCAGAGGCGAUGAAGGACGUGCUAAUCUGCGAUAAGCGUCGGUAAGGUGAUAUGAACCGUUAUAGCCGGCGAUUUCCGAAUGGGGAAACCCAGUGUGUUUCGACACACUAUCAUUACGUGAAUACAUAGCGUAAUGAAGCGAACCGGGGGAACUGAAACAUCUAAGUACCCCGAGGAAAAGAAAUCAACCGAGAUUCCCCCAGUAGCGGCGAGCGAACGGGGAGCAGCCCAGAACCUGAAUCAGUUUGUGUGUUAGUGGAAGCGUCUGGAAAGUCGCAGGGUACAGGGUGAUACUCCCGUACACUAAAAUGCACAGGCUGUGAGUUCGAAGAGUAGGGCGGGACACGUGGUAUCCUGUCUGAAUAUGGGGGGACCAUCCUCCAAGGCUAAAUACUCCUGACUGACCGAUAGUGAACCAGUACCGUGAGGGAAAGGCGAAAAGAACCCCGGCGAGGGGAGUGAAAAAGAACCUGAAACCGUGUACGUACAAGCAGUGGGAGCCUCUUUAUGGGGUGACUGCGUACCUUUUGUAUAAUGGGUCAGCGACUUAUAUUCUGUAGCAAGGUUAACCGUAUAGGGGAGCCGCAGGGAAACCGAGUCUUAACUGGGCGUUAAGUUGCAGGGUAUAGACCCGAAACCCGGUGAUCUAGCCAUGGGCAGGUUGAAGGUUGGGUAACACUAACUGGAGGACCGAACCGACUAAUGUUGAAAAAUUAGCGGAUGACUUGUGGCUGGGGGUGAAAGGCCAAUCAAACCGGGAGAUAGCUGGUUCUCCCCGAAAGCUAUUUAGGUAGCGCCUCGUGAACUCAUCUUCGGGGGUAGAGCACUGUUUCGGCUAGGGGGCCAUCCCGGCUUACCAACCCGAUGCAAACUACGAAUACCGAAGAAUGUUAUCAUGGGAGACACACGGCGGGUGCUAACGUCCGUCGUGAAGAGGGAAACAACCCAGACCGCCAGCUAAGGUCCCAAAGUCAUGGUUAAGUGGGAAACGAUGUGGGAAGGCACAGACAGCCAGGAUGUUGGCUUAGAAGCAGCCAUCAUUUAAAGAAAGCGUAAUAGCUCACUGGUCGAGUCGGCCUGCGCGGAAGAUGUAACGGGGCUAAACCAUGCACCGAAGCUGCGGCAGCGACACUAUGUGUUGUUGGGUAGGGGAGCGUUCUGUAAGCCGUUGAAGGUGAACUGUGAGGUUUGCUGGAGGUAUCAGAAGUGCGAAUGCUGACAUAAGUAACGAUAAAGCGGGUGAAAAGCCCGCUCGCCGGAAGACCAAGGGUUCCUGUCCAACGUUAAUCGGGGCAGGGUGAGUCGACCCCUAAGGCGAGGCCGAAAGGCGUAGUCGAUGGGAAACAGGUUAAUAUUCCUGUACUCGGUGUUACUGCGAAGGGGGGACGGAGAAGGCUAUGUUAGCCGGGCGACGGUUGUCCCGGUUUAAGCAUGUAGGCGGAGAGUUUAGGUAAAUCCGGACUCUUAUUAACGCUGAGGUGUGAUGACGAGGCACUACGGUGCUGAAGUAACAAAUGCCCUGCUUCCAGGAAAAGCCUCUAAGCAUCAGGUAACAUUGAAUCGUACCCCAAACCGACACAGGUGGUCAGGUAGAGAAUACCAAGGCGCUUGAGAGAACUCGGGUGAAGGAACUAGGCAAAAUGGUGCCGUAACUUCGGGAGAAGGCACGCUGUCGUUAGGUGAAACCCCUCGCGGGUGGAGCUGAAGGCAGUCGAAGAUACCAGCUGGCUGCAACUGUUUAUUAAAAACACAGCACUGUGCAAACACGAAAGUGGACGUAUACGGUGUGACGCCUGCCCGGUGCCGGAAGGUUAAUUGAUGGGGUUAUCCGCAAGGAGAAGCUCUUGAUCGAAGCCCCGGUAAACGGCGGCCGUAACUAUAACGGUCCUAAGGUAGCGAAAUUCCUUGUCGGGUAAGUUCCGACCUGCACGAAUGGCGUAAUGAUGGCCAGGCUGUCUCCACCCGAGACUCAGUGAAAUUGAAAUCGCUGUGAAGAUGCAGUGUACCCGCGGCAAGACGGAAAGACCCCGUGAACCUUUACUAUAGCUUGACACUGAACAUUGAGCCUUGAUGUGUAGGAUAGGUGGGAGGCUUUGAAGCGUGGACGCCAGUCUGCGUGGAGCCAACCUUGAAAUACCACCCUUUAAUGUUUGAUGUUCUAACGUAGACCCGUGAUCCGGGUUGCGGACAGUGUCUGGUGGGUAGUUUGACUGGGGCGGUCUCCUCCUAAAGCGUAACGGAGGAGCACGAAGGUUAGCUAAUCACGGUCGGACAUCGUGAGGUUAGUGCAAAGGCAUAAGCUAGCUUGACUGCGAGAGUGACGGCUCGAGCAGGUGCGAAAGCAGGUCUUAGUGAUCCGGUGGUUCUGAAUGGAAGGGCCAUCGCUCAACGGAUAAAAGGUACUCCGGGGAUAACAGGCUGAUACCGCCCAAGAGUUCAUAUCGACGGCGGUGUUUGGCACCUCGAUGUCGGCUCAUCACAUCCUGGGGCUGAAGUAGGUCCCAAGGGUAUGGCUGUUCGCCAUUUAAAGUGGUACGCGAGCUGGGUUUAGAACGUCGUGAGACAGUUCGGUCCCUAUCUGCCGUGGGCGCUGGAGAAUUGAGGGGGGCUGCUCCUAGUACGAGAGGACCGGAGUGGACGCAUCACUGGUGUUCGGGUUGUCAUGCCAAUGGCAUUGCCCGGUAGCUAAAUGCGGAAGAGAUAAGCGCUGAAAGCAUCUAAGCGCGAAACUUGCCCCGAGAUGAGUUCUCCCUGACUCCUUGAGAGUCCUGAAGGAACGUUGAAGACUACGACGUUGAUAGGCUGGGUGUGUAAGCGUAGCGAUACGUUGAGCUAACCAGUACUAAUGAUCCGUGAGGCUUAACCUUACAACACCGAAGGUGUUUUAG